rnacentral:rRNA from 1 species
CUAUCACUCUUGGAUGGACCUGCGGUGCAUUAGCUAGUUGGUAAGGUAACGGCUUACCAAGGCAAUGAUGCGUAGCCGAACUGAGAGGUUGAUCGGCCACAUUGGGACUGAGACACGGCCCAAACUCUACGGGAGGCAGCAGUAGGGAAUCUUCCACAAUGGACGAAAGUCUGAUGGAGCAACGCCGCGUGAGCGAAGAAGGGUUUCGGCUCGUAAAGCUCUGUUGGUAGUGAAGAAAGAUAGAGGUAGUAACUGGCCUUUAUUUGACGGUAAUUACUUAGAAAGUCACGGCUAACUACGUGCCAGCAGCCGCGGUAAUACGUAGGUGGCAAGCGUUGUCCGGAUUUAUUGGGCGUAAAGCGAGUGCAGGCGGUUCAAUAAGUCUGAUGUGAAAGCCUUCGGCUCAACCGGAGAAUUGCAUCAGAAACUGUUGAACUUGAGUGCAGAAGAGGAGAGUGGAACUCCAUGUGUAGCGGUGGAAUGCGUAGAUAUAUGGAAGAACACCAGUGGCGAAGGCGGCUCUCUGGUCUGCAACUGACGCUGAGGCUCGAAAGCAUGGGUAGCGAACAGGAUUAGAUACCCUGGUAGUCCAUGCCGUAAACGAUGAGUGCUAAGUGUUGGGAGGUUUCCGCCUCUCAGUGCUGCAGCUAACGCAUUAAGCACUCCGCCUGGGGAGUACGACCGCAAGGUUGCAACUCAAAGGAAUUGACGGA